rnacentral:rRNA from 1 species
AGGAUAAACGCUGGCGGCGUGCCUAACACAUGCAAGUCGAACGCGCUUUUUUCGCAAGAGGAGAGCGAGUGGCGGACGGGUGAGUAACACAUGGGUACCUACCUUGGAGUGAGGGAUACCGGCGAGAAAUCGCCGACAAUACCGCAUACGCUUCUCUUCACCGGGAAGCAAAGUUGCGCAAGCGACGCUCUGAGAUGGGCCUGUGGCCGAUUAGCUAGUUGGUGGGGUAACGGCCUACCAAGGCGACGAUCGGUAGCUGGUCUGAGAGGACGAUCAGCCACACUGGGAUUGAGAACGGCCCAGACUCCUACGGGGGGCAGCAGUGAGGAAUUUUCCGCAAUGGACGCAAGUCUGACGGAGCAACGCCGCGUGCAGGAUGAAGGUUUUCGGAUCGUAAACUGUCUUUUCGUCGGGGACGAGCAAGGACGGUACCCGAGGAAGAGCCCCGGCUAACUACGUGCCAGCAGCCGC